CAUCUGUGAGUUUUUUGAGGGUGUCUCAUAUCUAAAACUCCUCCUACUUUUCAUCUUUGAAAGAGUCCAAAUCAAGAAGAAAGAGUCAUCUGAUCGAUCAUCGAAGAAGGAUCAGCAUAAUACUAGCAUAUUGUGCUGAUUUUCUGGAUCAGGACUUCUGAUCGUUAUUCGUAGGCUCGUGUGGAUGACUCCUAGAGGUCGGACAUGUGUA
rnacentral:lncRNA from 1 species